rnacentral:lncRNA from 1 species
GAAAUUAAUAUUUAUCCUAUUUAUCCAUCAUCCUCAGUCAGCUGACUUGUUUUCUUGAAACGACACUUUGCAUACAAUAUUGGUAUUUAAAUAUCCCGCUCUGUCAUUCUUAAUCAUUUGACCAGUACGAACACAGAUAUCACGUGGGUAGUUCUAACCAAUGAAAACUUGGAAUUCAUAGCGGUAUUUAACGCUUCGUGUAGUAGGCAAUCCAAACCACGUGACCUCUGGUUGGCACACAAACUAACAAAGAGGUUAUGUUUAUAUCUAUUUUUCAAUGAUUUUUCAUUGUUUAUCGUCGUAUUUUGGAUUCAUUUGGAUUUCGUUUCCUGUUUUUGUGAACUUUAUAAACUUUACCACAAUGCAAACUGAUUAUUUAAGGAAAUUAUUAUUGGAAACUCCAGAUGUUGCGAGAAAGAUAUUUAUUGAAGCUGAAAAUAAUUGGGGAUUUAGAUCCAUACGCAAUUCAGUCAGAAUUAGAUUUUACAGUAAAGUGCAGUCCAUCAAGUUACUAUUAUAGAUAUUUAUACAUAUCUGGUGGAGUCUGAUAUGUCACAGUUGCUACUCUAAGCAGCAGAUGAAAGCAUACAAAAGCCUUCAGGCACAUAAAUAUUUUACAGCUGGAUUUGUUUUGAAUGGAGUAAAAAUUGUUAAUGAUUUCCUGAUUUCCAUAUUAUUGUGGGAAAGGUGAAGCAUUUCCAAAAAUCCAAUGCUAAACGACUAAAUGCUUGGGUGGGGUGAUAGCCAGUUCUGAUGACAUAGCAAAUUCACAUUGUAUGCGUAUGGCCGGUAAUAGUGAAGUCUGCAGCCAUAUUGCAGCAAUCCUAUUUUUAGCUUAGUAUGCUCAGGGCAAGACAGACGAAGAACCCAACGUAUGUACAUAUGUUACAGCUACAUGGUUUGGAGAUAGCAACAUAUGCAUUCUCUGAUGAAAAACUAAUGAGUUUUGAAACUGUUCGGUCAGAGUGCUUGUUGCGCUCACUAAACAAAUUGAAAUAUAAGAUGGCUUUGGCAUUGUGUUGCAGCGAUAUGAAAAUGGUUAUUCAUUUUUAAUUAUAAUGUACUUCUUCAUCAUGAGUAAUUAUGUAUUGGUCUUUUAAAUGUGUAUUUAUUUUUGUAAUUAGUAUCAACUUGUAAUAAUAAUAUUCAUUUAUCGUUUAAGGUAUGACUAUGUUUUGACUCUAAAAUAAAUGGUUUAAAAAUCGAA